rnacentral:rRNA from 1 species
GACGAACGCUGGCGGCGUGGAUUAGGCAUGCAAGUCGAACGGUAUCAUCCUUUCGGGGGUGAGAGAGUGGCGAACUGGUGAGUAACACGUAGGUUAUCUACCCUCAAGACGGGGACAACCCAGGGAAACUUGGGCUAAUACCGGAUGUGAGCAACUUUUAGUUGUUUGAAAGGUGGCGUAAGCUGUCGCUUGGGGAUGAGCCUGCGUCCUAUUAGUUAGUUGGUGAGGUAACGGCUCACCUAGGCAAUGAUAGGUAGGCGGCCUUAACGGGUGGUCGCCCACACUGGGAUUGAGAUACGGCCCAGACUCCUACGGGAGGCAGCAGUCGAGAAUAGUCUACAAUGGUCGGAAGACUGAUAGUGCGACGCCGCGUGAACGAUGAAUCCCUUCGGGGUGUAAAGUUCUUUUAUAUGUGAGCAGUGCUUCUAUAUUAACAGUAUGGGGAGAGAGAUAUUAGCAUAUGAAUAAGCAACGGCUAACUCCGUGCCAGCAGCCGCGGUAAU